CAGCAGCCGCGGUAAUACAGAGGUCCCAAGCGUUGUUCGGAUUCAUUGGGCGUAAAGGGUGCGUAGGUGGCGCCGUAAGUCGGGUGUGAAAUUUCGGAGCUUAACUCCGAAACUGCAUUCGAUACUGCGGUGCUUGAGGACUGGAGAGGAGACUGGAAUUCAUGGUGUAGCAGUGAAAUGCGUAGAGAUCAUGAGGAAGACCAGUGGCGAAGGCGGGUCUCUGGACAGUUCCUGACACUGAGGCACGAAGGCCAGGGUAGCAAACGGGAUUAGAUACCCCGGUAGUCCUGGCAGUAAACGGUGCACGUUUGGUGUGGGGGGAUUCGACCCCUUCCGCGCCGGAGCUAACGCGUUAAACGUGCCGCCUGGGGAGUACGGUCGCAAGAUUAAAACUCAAAGAAAUUGACGG
rnacentral:rRNA from 1 species